rnacentral:lncRNA from 1 species
UUGAUGGAAUUUCUUGAAACUUUGUAUCUCAUGUUAGAUUGCUUUUUAUGGUAAGUGAUUCAUAAUAAAUUGCUUUGGUGUUUGUUAUGUUCACAACUUAGGAAUUCUUGUUACCUUAUUAACUGGAUUUUCUUGAAAAUUUGUAGAGCUGUGGAUGGUAUUUUCAUACUUUCAUGAAGUUUGGAUAUGAGAAGGAAAUGCUUUAGUUUGGAAAGGGGAGUGAGAAGAUGAAGCAAAGAUGCAUUGUAUUUGAAAGUAUCGUGAAAUAUAAUCAUGAUAGGAAGGCAGAAGAAUAGGAACAAAGUAGAAAAACGAAGACACAGGAAAAUAAAGGGAAAAAAUACAUACCUUUCCUAAAAAAAACAACACCUAAUGACAACAAUUGAUAAUCAACACUGAGCACGAUAA